rnacentral:rRNA from 1 species
GGGCGGACGCGUGCUAUACAUGCAAGUCGAGCGAACUGAUUAGAAGCUUGCUUCUAUGACGUUAGCGGCGGACGGGUGAGUAACACGUGGGCAACCUGCCUGUAAGACUGGGAUAACUUCGGGAAACCGAAGCUAAUACCGGAUAGGAUCUUCUCCUUCAUGGGAGAUGAUUGAAAGAUGGUUUCGGCUAUCACUUACAGAUGGGCCCGCGGUGCAUUAGCUAGUUGGUGAGGUAACGGCUCACCAAGGCAACGAUGCAUAGCCGACCUGAGAGGGUGAUCGGCCACACUGGGACUGAGACACGGCCCAGACUCCUACGGGAGGCAGCAGUAGGGAAUCUUCCGCAAUGGACGAAAGUCUGACGGAGCAACGCCGCGUGAGUGAUGAAGGCUUUCUGGUCGUAAAACUCUGUUGUUAGGGAAAAACAAGUACAAGAGUAACUGCUUCGUACCUUGUACGGGGACCCUAACCAAAAAAACCACGUUUUAACUACGUGUCCAGCAACUCGCCGCGAAAUAACAAUACAGGUGGGGA